CCCUGUGCAUAGCUGCACGGAAUCUGAACAGCAAUGGCACAAGCCACGGACAGUGGGUGUGAAGCCAGGACCCAUCAACUCCAUGAUCUUCACUAAGCCGGUACCAAAUACGAUGGCCCAGACUGGAGUACGAAAACAAAGGAGGAUACUGUGGGUGUUGAAGAGGAGAAGGCCCCACUGAAAAAAUGGAGGAUCACUAACAGGAGCGUGGGAAGACUCCAGAAUCCACUCUGGCUGGAAUCCGGUGGAUACAGCAGUGUUACAGAACAGUUCGCCACAGUCGCUGUCCACAUGGGUCAGUGGGACCAAGCAGCACUGUGCUAAUGUGGGACUCUGACCAGCAACAUCCAGCAAGACCCAAGCAGCGUUUUCUAUCUCCCAGCUGGAGUUUUUUUGUUUGUGACGGGAGAGUCAGAUUUUUGUUGAGGCUGGAGGAACAGCCUCACAGUUGCAGAGGUUAAUACACUCUACUGAUCCCUGAUGGGAGAAUCAUCACCUCUGCCAACAAAGAAGCCUGGUGGAUAUUUGUUUGCAGUCUGAUGAUGGGACAUCAUGCUCUGCAUCUUCAAAGUUUGUCUCUUGAUUAUUAUUCAUACACAGUAAUGUGAAUUAUGCUUAUAUCUAGCCUCUUAAGCCCCACGCCCCCGGUACCGGGGGCAAAAGGGAGGAGAUCACGUUUAAUCGGUUAUAACGCCGGUUGAGAAAUAUAACUCCAGACAUGUGUGGUAUCCACAGAAACCUCAGAAUCUCAGCUACAAUGUCAUAUAAACCAUUUCUACAACCACCAAACACACCGCAAACAAGCCGCGAUUAAACGAGCAGUUACGUAAAUGCGCAGAAGUCCGCUAACACGCAAACGAGAACCAGACAUUCUUCAGACUUCAUGUAACCGGUUAUAAAUAGGCUGGCUAGCUUCCAGGGCUAUCACUGCGUAAACACACAAAGUUUGACCACGAUCGGACUAAAAUUCACCGAAUUAGCUGCAAAAGAAGAAAAAAAUUAGGCGAGAAUAAAAUCUACUUCCUUUUUCUGUGUUCCAGUCUCAGUAACUUUGACACAGUAAUAUCCGCUUUAAUAUUUACACCUCUGAUUAAAUGUCCCAAGUGUUAGCUUCAUUUUGAUACCAAGAUUGUAAGGACGGAGUUUGUAAUUGCAGAGAAAUAAUCAAUUUAAUUGAGGCAUUGCAUUUUCGAGCAGGAAGCUCAGAAAACCCCUUGGGGCUCAAGAGGCUAGUAUAACUGGACCAACCUGGUGCUCUUCAUUUAUGGAGGCUGUUGAGUCUGAAUGUUGGAUGUUGUGUAUCUCGUGUUCUCUGGGCUUUGUUGUCCUCAGUCUUUUUGCAGGAUCAGAAAACAAAACCAGGAGGCGCGUAAAUGUUUCUUCUCCAGUUGGAUGAUGAUAAGACUGUGACAUGGGAUGCCACCUUUAGUCUUGUGAUGAAGCAAAGCUCAGGAAGAAGUGUGAUUCAAUUGUACCCACAUGUGUGCUGCUGAGAAGGAUGUACAGGGGCACCUGCAGCCAAAUCCAAGCCUCCUCAGCAACUUCAGGUCUGUCAGCGUGCUGAGGUCACAGAAACAAGAAAAGCAGCUUCAGACUUCAGAGUGUUGUUUACAGUUUUCUGACAUCAUGAUCUCCCCUGAAGUUUAUCACUAUUAGGCAAGCAAGCAGAGCGGCAGUUUGUGCUCACAGAUGGUGACGGUGUGGAGAGACGGUGGUGUUUCCUCAGAAGAACUAGCAGAGUCACAAAGGGCACGAGUCCAUCUCACCACCUUGACUUGUUGAUCAGUGGAUACACUUGUCUCCCCUUUAAAGGAGAUACUCUUAGAGAGAGACGAUCCGAGUCAUCCUUAAAUAUGGGCAGGAUAUCACUAUUAGACUGUCUAACCUGCAGGAGCAGCACUGAAUGAUCACCACACAUGAUCAGUUCCUGCAACAUUCAGCAGCUUUGCUUUUGUGUCAAAUGUCCAACAGCUGGAGAGGAAACUACACCAGUGUACUGGGAUGUUUCACCAACACGUGCCAGACGCUGUUCCUUCAUGGUGACAUCACCAGAGACGGCCCCGCCCACCUCAUGACCUCGCCAUUGAUCGUGAUGAUUUUAAUGAUGACAGCGAGCGGAACUAAGACUGUAAAAAUCAGAAUGUUUAGAUGCUUUCUAAUUAUUAAUGAAUACUGAGAGCCUCUUUCUGUGUUUUGUCUGUUUUUUUUGUUUGUUUUUUUUUUAACCUCAUUUGUUACUAACAAAGUUCACCAAACUCACACAGUUUACAGUCUGUGUUUCCAUCUUUACCAGCCACACUCUACCCGCAAUUAAGAAAAUAAUCCUUAGAAAUUGUCGUUUUUCUCUUUUGUAAUUUUGUAAUUCAGUGAAUAUACUGCGCUGCUUCCUUUAAUUGCGUCUCACAUUGCUUUAAGUUUUUCCAGUGUCCAGUUAUUUUUUACUGCUGUUUGAAUUCUGUGUAUGUUUGACCCUGUAGACUGUUUGAUGGACUGCUUGUCUUCCUGUUUGUAACCGACGCCUGUUUUUGACUAAAGAUUUGGA